rnacentral:misc_RNA from 1 species
GAUCUGUCAACAGAUCACAGGGAACCUCCAGGCUGCUCUAUACUCAUACCAACAGUCACUCACACAGUAUCCAUACCACAGUAUACAAACUGCUACACACAAAAGAAUACAUGAUAUAGUAGGAACAACCUCACACUACUGAAAAAAUCCCUCAUUUUGGAAUACCAUAAAAACAGUUGAUAUAAAUGUAUAGAUUUCUAUGCAGAUUACAAUGAUAUAUCCUCCUUUUGUUACAGUCAUUCUCUGCAAAUAAUGUUAAAAGCUAUAGUAGUUGUACUCAUUGAACCCCCCCCCCACCUUUUGGUUUAUCAAACUUUAGUUUCAAAUGUUAUCCUUCACUUUAAACAUUUGUGUAUUAUCAAUAUUAUAACAAACACACCUACACAGGAUGGAAUAAUGAAAUGAGUGUGUAUUAACAUAUUUAUUACACACUUUUGACAACAUAUCGAAGACAUUCAUGGUCUGAGUCUCAAUUCAAUUUAAGACGUAAUAACAAGUGGAUUAUGUCAGACGUUGUAUUGUAAAGUAUAAAUCACUACCUUAAAUUUCUACAAAAUCUAAUGGGGAAAAAUCAGAGUUCCGAAAAGAUUGUGAUACGGAUCUAUAUCAGCCCUGGAGGCUGUAUACCGGUAUUAUAAUGUCAGCUGUAUCGCAUGUGCAAAAGCCACGUAUUUAUUACUACGUAUGUAAUAAAUUGUUAUAGUAUAUGUCAACAUUAUUAUAAAAAUCAUGUAUAUCAAUACUUUAUCUUGUUUUCAACAUGAGAAACAUUUCAUGUAACAAAAUUGACUAGACACUGACAAAGCACCAUUUUUGUAUUCUUUGCAAUACUGAUGUUAACUGAAUCUGUAUGGAGAAGGUAUUGCCUGCUGCCUAAUCCAUUUAUGUAAUAUAUUUACGUAAUAAAAUAUGUUCAAAUCU